rnacentral:tRNA from 1 species
AUAUAUAUAGUUUAAAAAACAUUACAUUUUCAUUGUAAAGAUAAAAUAAUUAUUUUUAUAUAUA